AAAAGAGAGUCCCGUUCGGCCCGCUCUUCACUCCCGGCACUGGGACGCUGCUGUAGACGGUACGUUCCUCGAGAAACUGCUGGCCCUCGUCUUGGGUGUAGCCAUGGCUGCUCAAAGGCUCCUGCUUUAAGCCACAGCAACGAUCAGAAUCAUUCGUUCAAAGGAAGAGACCCAGACUCGGGUGCCCGGGGAAUGAAUCAAGCUUUAUUCCCAGACCUUAAAAACACUAGAAAGGAAACAUAAAGAGGGAAAACAUAAGUUUCCGGCAAACGGGCAUUUCGUCGAACACCUGGUGCGCCCAAGUAAGAGGGGUAAAAAUACGUACCUCGUCGUCAGCUUCUUGAGCUUGGGGCUACAUGCAUAUCUGCAAGCACGCACGCAACGACGAGGUCGAGAUCAAAGUUCUGCUCUUUCCAGGAUGGAACUGAACCAAUUCAACCGAUCGAGCGCGCCGGAGAGGGAGAGGCGGGGUAGGGCUUGGUGGCAGGAGAGAACGAAGGAGGUGGGCUUGUGUUCUUGUGGGUGGGCCG
rnacentral:lncRNA from 1 species